rnacentral:rRNA from 2 species
GAUCCGAAUGGGACAAAGUCUGACGGAGCACGCCGCGUGAGUGAUGAAGGCUUUCGGGUCGUAAAACUCUGUUGUUAGGGAAGAACAAGUACGAGAGUAACUGCUCGUACCUUGACGGUACCUAACCAGAAAGCCACGGCUAACUACGUGCCAGCAGCCGCGGUAAUACGUAGGUGGCAAGCGUUAUCCGGAAUUAUUGGGCGUAAAGCGCGCGCAGGCGGUUUCUUAAGUCUGAUGUGAAAGCCCACGGCUCAACCGUGGAGGGUCAUUGGAAACUGGGGAACUUGAGUGCAGAAGAGAAAAGCGGAAUUCCACGUGUAGCGGUGAAAUGCGUAGAGAUGUGGAGGAACACCAGUGGCGAAGGCGGCUUUUUGGUCUGUAACUGACGCUGAGGCGCGAAAGCGUGGGGAGCAAACAGGAUUAGAUACCCUGGUAGUCCACGCCGUAAACGAUGAGUGCUAAGUGUUAGAGGGUUUCCGCCCUUUAGUGCUGCAGCUAACGCAUUAAGCACUCCGCCUGGGGAGUACGGUCGCAAGACUGAAACUCAAAGGAAUUGACGGGGGCCCGCACAAGCGGUGGAGCAUGUGGUUUUAAUUCGAAGCAACGCGAAGAACCUUACCAGGUCUUGACAUCCUCUGACAACUCUAGAGAUAGAGCGUUCCCCCUUCGGGGGGACAGAGUGACAGGUGGUGCAUGGUUUGUCGUCAGCCUCGUGUCGUGAGAUGUUGGGUUUAAGUACCCGACAAACCAAAGCAAC